rnacentral:tRNA from 1 species
CUGGGGAUAGAGCUCCAUUGGUAGAGUGUUUGCCUCACAUGCACAAGGCCCUGGGUUCAAGCCCCAACCACCAAA